AUUGAACGCUGGCGGCAUGCCUUACACAUGCAAAUCGAACGGUAACGGGCCUUCGGGUGCCGCCGAGUGGCGCACGGGUGAGUAAUACAUCGGAACGUGCCCGAUCGUGGGGGAUAACGAGGCGAAAGCUUUGCUAAUACCGCAUACGAUCUACGGAUGAAAGCAGGGGACCGCAAGGCCUUGCGCGGACGGAGCGGCCGAUGGCAGAUUAGGUAGUUGGUGGGAUAAAAGCUUACCAAGCCGACGAUCUGUAGCUGGUCUGAGAGGAUGAUCAGCCACACUGGGACUGAGACACGGCCCAGACUCCUACGGGAGGCAGCAGUGGGGAAUUUUGGACAAUGGGCGCAAGCCUGAUCCAGCCAUGCCGCGUGCAGGAUGAAGGCCUUCGGGUUGUAAACUGAUUUUGUACGGAACGAAAAGCCUUCUUUUAAUACAGGAGGGUCAUGACGGUACCGUAAGAAUAAGCACCGGCUAACUACGUG
rnacentral:rRNA from 1 species